rnacentral:rRNA from 1 species
AUUGAACGCUGGCGGCAGGCCUAACACAUGCAAGUCGAGCAGAUGAAGGGAGCUUGCUCCUGGAUUCAGCGGCGGACGGGUGAGUAAUGCCUAGGAAUCUGCCUGGUAGUGGGGGAUAACGUCUGGAAACGGGCGCUAAUACCGCAUACGUCCUGAGGGAGAAAGUGGGGGAUCUUCGGACCUCACGCUAUCAGAUGAGCCUAGGUCGGAUUAGCUAGUUGGUGGGGUAAAGGCCUACCAAGGCGACGAUCCGUAACUGGUCUGAGAGGAUGAUCAGUCACACUGGAACUGAGACACGGUCCAGACUCCUACGGGAGGCAGCAGUGGGGAAUAUUGGACAAUGGGCGAAAGCCUGAUCCAGCCAUGCCGCGUGUGUGAAGAAGGUCUUCGGAUUGUAAAGCACUUUAAGUUGGGAGGAAGGGCAGUAAGUUAAUACCUUGCUGUUUUGACGUUACCAACAGAAUAAGCACCGGCUAACUUCGUG